GAUGAACGCUGGCGGCGUGCCUAAUACAUGCCAGUCGAGCGAACGGACGAGAAGCUCGCUCUUCUGAUGUUAGCGGCGGACGGGCGAGUAACACGUGGAUAACCUACCUAUAAGACUGGGAUAACUUCGGGAAACCGGAGCUAAUACCGGAUAAUACUUUGAACCGCAUGGUUCAAAAGUGAAAGACGGUCUUGCUGUCACUUAUAGAUGGAUCCGCGCUGCAUUAGCUAGUUGGUAAGGUAACGGCUUACCAAGGCAACGAUGCAUAGCCGACCUGAGAGGGUGAUCAGCCACACUGGAACUGAGACACGGUCCAGACUCCUACGGGAGGCAGCAGUAGGGAAUCUUCCGCAAUGGGCGAAAGCCUGACGGAGCAACGCCGCGUGAGUGAUGAAGGUCUUCGGGUCGUAAAACUCUGUUGUUAGGGAAGAACAUAUGUGUAAGUAACUGUGCACAUCUUGACGGUACCUAAUCAGAAAGCCACGGCUAACUACGUG
rnacentral:rRNA from 1 species